GACAGAGGGUGCAAACGUUGCUCGGAAUCACUGGGCGUAAAGGGCGUGUAGGCGGGAAGGAAAGUCAGAUGUGAAAUCCCUGGGCUCAACCCAGGAACUGCAUUUGAAACUCCCUUUCUUGAGUGUCGGAGAGGAAAGCGGAAUUCCUGGUGUAGAGGUGAAAUUCGUAGAUAUCAGGAGGAACACCGGUGGCGAAGGCGGAUCUCUGGGCCUUACCUGACGCUGAGGCGCGAAAGCUAGGGGAGCGAACAGG
rnacentral:rRNA from 1 species